rnacentral:rRNA from 1 species
GAUGAACGCUGGCGGCGUGCUUAACACAUGCAAGUCGAACGAAGCACUUUAUUUGAUUUCCUUCGGGACUGAUUAUUUUGUGACUGAGUGGCGGACGGGUGAGUAACGCGUGGGUAACCUGCCUUGUACAGGGGGAUAACAGUUGGAAACGGCUGCUAAUACCGCAUAAGCGCACAGCAUCGCAUGAUGCAGUGUGAAAAACUCCGGUGGUAUAAGAUGGACCCGCGUUGGAUUAGCUAGUUGGUGAGGUAACGGCCCACCAAGGCGACGAUCCAUAGCCGACCUGAGAGGGUGACCGGCCACAUUGGGACUGAGACACGGCCCAAACUCCUACGGGAGGCAGCAGUGGGGAAUAUUGCACAAUGGGCGAAAGCCUGAUGCAGCGACGCCGCGUGAGCGAAGAAGUAUUUCGGUAUGUAAAGCUCUAUCAGCAGGGAAGAUAAUGACGGUACCUGACUAAGAAGCACCGGCU